UGCCUACUCAAUGUCCAUUUUUCUCCCUCAUUUACAGAAUCUCUUAAUUAUUGGGUGCUUUGACGGUUAAUCACUGAACAACAAAGAAUCACUUAAUAAUUGGAUGCCUAUCUAAAAACACUUCCCAAACUCCUUUGCAUAUAGACAUGACCAACAUGCCGAAGUCAAUAUGUAGGGGUUUCCAGGAAGGCUCUUUAAGAAGAACUAAUUCGCCU
rnacentral:lncRNA from 10 species